CAUAAAUACAGUCGCAUGCAGUAAUAUCAAGCAGGAACUACCAUACUAAAACACUAAUCACCUAUGAGCCCCUAACCUACAAUCUUGAUUCUAGACCGCCAGACUCCCCUAUCAAGAGUCAUGUCCUCGGUAACCUUCAUUCUGGUCAUGUCCUGCCUAAUCACCUCUCCCCAAUGCUUCUUAGGCCUCCCUCUCCCUCGCCGACC
rnacentral:lncRNA from 1 species